UUCAAAGUAAAGGUCUAAUCAGCCAUAACUGAAAACACCUGUGCAGUUGUCCAGGGGAUCAUUUUGGUUGCUUAAAACUUUGUUUUGUUUCAUAAAUGUGGCCAUCAUUCCUAACAAUACCAUUGUUCUGUUGAAAGACAGUGUCCUGAAAUCCCUUUCCUGAAAUCUAGCUGCAAUAUUUGGACAAGGAACUGUACCCCCGGGCACAGAUAAAAAGACUUCUAAACUCCCUUUUGUGCAGCGAGAAGAUGAAAGGCCAGAGAAGACAGGAGCUUGUCAUGAAGAAGCCGGUCCCAGCAGCCAGUUAGUGUUCAAGUGUAGCAGACCAGAAGAACGACAGGUUAUCAUCAGCUUCCUGCUUGAGAAAAGAGACGCCUCGUCAUCAAGUCAUGAUGUUUUAUUUCUCCCUCAACUCGCGCAGCCCAUCAUCCUCACUUCUGACAGACGGAAUGUUGUUCACAAAUAAGAGACGCUUACUGUACAGUGGUGCAUACUCAGAUUUAACAUACUCAUUUUGCCAUGG